AGUUGCUACCGGCUUGGAAAUUGGAAGAUAUUCAUCACUUGGGCAAAGCCAAACGUAGCUUCAAAUUCUGCGAGAAGUUGUCUUACAUGAAUUGCAAGUGUUUGAUCUAAGUGCUGGGAUAGAAUAUUUAAUCCAAGACAGACAUAAAGAGUGUACAAAAUAUAUGUUGAUAAUGCCCUAAAGGGUGAGUGAAAGGCGAAGACUCAAAAACUUUUCGGCUUAAAAGACCCAGACAUCUAAUCUACAAAAAGACCUGUCUACAUAAAGCUCUCUCUGGAGGUUCUGUUGUAAUAUUGGCACGAUGACAAAGGAAUGAUGUGUAUGUCACGGCAUGUUCGUACAGUUACGUGGUCUCUUUUCCCUUAUCCACACGAGAGUGCAGGACAAGCGGCCUUCAAACAGCUGAUGUACAACUGUGCGCUUUCUGCUAAUGAAUUUAAAAUAAAGACGGAUGAUAAAUGGUAGCUAUUUAAAUAAAUUUAGUUUUUACGUGUAACUUUUUCGUAAUAAAUAUUUAAAGCCUUUUGAAAACACAUCACAUGUUUUUACCUCUCUCAAGGACACUGACGUAGGGUGAAUGUCUAUAAAGGUCUAAUAGCAAAUCGAACGCCUUCUUGAUUUUAGCCUCUGAACUGUUUCGAUGGUAGUACAUGAUGACGUCACUGUAAACGUCUUGUCGGACUGAAAGCGAAUAAGCCACCAGACACGGUCCACAGAAAGCACCCUGAUAAACCGGGGUAGGGGGUAGUCUUGCAUUGCUGGAAGCACGAAGCGAAACCAAAGACGCCAUAUUGGACAUGAGGCUGCAAGAACACUGAAGUUCCACGUGGUGUGUUGUUUGAAUGUGCGGUGUGCGUUGUACGUUUUCGCAAAACUGAAGAAUGUGGACGUUUGUUUUUACAUAACAAAGCAUUACAUCUUACUACACUUGUCACAAGAACAAAAACCGUGUUUUAAAUACGUAAUGUCUGAAUUACUCCAUUAAAAACUAUGUCAGAAAGAACUAAUGACAUUCAAACAAAUAUAAAAUUACAUAAUUGCGUAGUCGGCCUUCCAGAAAUGGUUGUGUGAUACAGAACCGAAUGAAUUAAGUGACUCUGUCUCACAACUGAUUAUCUAUUUUGUCCGAUCGGCAUAAACGCUACACAUUCCAAAUCUAUGUUAAUACUGUUACUACGUAUAUUUAAACCGGUAGAAAUAAAUUGUUCAUAGCAACGUGGCGUUAAUCAACGCGCUUAUUGAAUUACAUACGCGCUCAUGUGGAUCGAAAAUUUUUUUCUUACCGUGGCGAAUCGAAGUUUGUGGGCCCGGACUCUGACCUCGAUAUACUUUGGGUGAGCCAGUGACAAUUAACAGCUGCAAAUAAAAUACGAAUCAGUGAAACCUCGAGGUUUUACGCAAGUUUUAAUGGUUUAUAUCAUCCGGCAAGAUCCAAAUUCAUGUGUUCGAAUAUCGGACUGAAGAUUAUCGUCGUUUUCCUCAGUACAUUCAAGCAGAUACUGGGUCAGUACACACCCUUUCCAAUUUAUAACUCACAGACCAUAAUAUGAUUGGAUGCUACAUAAUUACGCAAAAAAGCCUAAGUUAAUAAAUCUAGAGUAUAUCAAAACAUGAAAUCAAAGACAAACAUUACAAAGUCGAGCCAUUUUGUUCUUUAAUAAGGACAUGUUUUGAACGAAAGCUGAAAUUAGAAAAAUAUUUCGGAAAUCUGAUUUAAAAAUCGUAAAUUUCAUCUCAAAAUGAAAUGUUACCGCGACGAACCGUUGUUCUCAAGCACGGAACUGGCGGCAUUUGACUGUAAUAGAAAGGCUGCUUACAUCCGUGAGUGUCACAGUGGUAUCAUUAAUGCAGUGAAACUUAUUUACAUUCGUGAUACAGUGGAACAGUUACUCAUCACACACGAUGGAGACUUCUGUUCGGCAUUCGACCACGCGAGUUCCUGAUGCAAAGGCUGCCGUGGAGCCAAAUUACACAUUCAUCCCGGAAGAAUAUCGAAAGAAAUCGUCACACAACAAAGCUUAUGGCGAUCGUGUACCAUAUAAGGCUUGAACCAGGACACUUCAUCUAGGCCUAUUACCGCACUAGACCGUCCACCCUUGUAUACGCUGAGCGAUUAGCAACACAGAACUUCCGCGUCCUAGUGACAACUGAAUCGAACCUUACAUCACCAGCAGGUAUAGCCAGCCCUUCGAUAAGCGAGACGAUGGUUAUUUUCAUGGCAAGAAAGAAGGAAGGAGCCAAGCCGGAUCCACUUUAUAGAACAGAUCCGGGACUGUUAAACAGUGAAUUGGAGAUCUGAAGGUCUGCAAGCUUACCUACUUAACUCUCAGCUCUGAGCAGGCAGCUCGCAAACAACAUUCGGUAAUUGGCUGGCUCGUAGCUUUGCUUAUUGGCUUGGUUGACGACACCUUAUCAACUACAUAUUCUACAUAGUGUCCAACGGUUGCGAUGAUUCUAAACUAUGAUUUAGAAAUGCCUUGACCUACUCACCGCACUUUUAAGGUACUGAAGAAAACAAUACAAACCUGUCAGGAGAUACAAUAUCCGGGCCUGUAUCUAAACCCAGGACUUCCGAAUAUGAAGCUCUAGCACUAAUGGGCGACGAUCGAUUGUCUUUUUGUGUGCACGCAAUUACUUCUUUACAGCCGUAUUCAGUUAUGGCCUAAAAAUUGCAUGUCAUUCACGUCCAUUAGACUGGCAGAAGUUCGGCAUAAAAAACGCCUCAAGAAAUGCCAGACCUAGCGUCGGAUUUUCGUGAGGGGAAAAUAAAACAAAAUUGUUAACGUAAUGGACUAAAUGUAGUCGACACACCAGGAUAUAAGGUAGCAUUAACUAUUAGGCUGCAAUAGGGUCUGGAAGGGUAGCUCAGUUCCCUCAACGUAAAUCACAUUAUUAACGUUAUGUAAGUUGUGCCACGAGCACAGGUAAUUGUACAUGUAUAACAAUAAAAUACAAUUCAGUAAUCAAAAGUUAUUGAAAUAUUUAGAAGUGA